UAGCCUAGUGGUUAAGGCUAUGGAUUGCCAAUCCGAAGACGACGGGUUCGAUUCCCGU
rfam:Aedes albopictus isolate Foshan contig142255, whole genome shotgun sequence.